UAGAGGUGUCAAAUUUGUCGAUCGUUAAUUAGACAAGUUAUCCUCCCACCACUUGGAAGAAGAAAAUAAUAGUAAAAUAAUAAAAAGAGAAAGAGGGCACAUUUAUUCGAAAUGUCAUGCUACCCACUAGCCCUUUAAUUAGGCCCCUUACUCUCUCUAUAUAAAGAGCUCUACCGGCAUGCCUUGUCUUCACCACAACAUAGCAAUUCACUGUUUCCAAUCUACUCAACACUCAUUCUUCUUCUUCGAUCUUCUUCAUCAUCUCUACUUAAUUUAAUUAGGUUAUUCCUUCUAAUUAGGGCAUAUAUAUAUAUAUAUUCUUUCUAAUUAGGGUUCUACACUUCUACCCUUAAUCAGCAAAAUAAUCGAAACGCCAACAACAAAACCAUAGCCAAAAUGAUUUAAAGAUCGACUGGUAAAAGGGAGGUGACAGAAGAGAGUGAGCACACAUGGUUGUUUUCUUGCAUUAAUUUCAUGCUUGAAGCUAUGCGUGCUUACUCUCUAUCUGUCUCCCCCCCACUCUUUCACUCCCAUUUUCUUAUUAAUUUCUUUUAUUUUUAUCAACUAUAAUGAGCAUUUUAGGUCUGGAUAAUAUAUAUGGAGUAUUUUUAUUUAUUUAUUUAUUUAUUUUUGUUUCAAUUAUUUUCUAAUAAUUUAGCUGUAGAAGAGGCACAUCAGCUGUAAUCCUGCUGCAAACCCAGUAUUGUAUUGUGGUUGAUCUGAUAUUCUGAUGAUUAGAGAUCAACAGAAGACGGAUCAAAGUGAAGCAAAUCGAGCAGCAGAAGAUCCGUAUUAUCAUAGUGAUAUAUGGACCAUUAACAACAACAACUAGCUAGUAUGCCGUGAGGUUUUGUUUCCCAGAAAGUGGCUAGUCUUUUAAGUGGGACUAGAUGAAUGCUCUAGCUUCUAAUUAAUGUUAUUUCCCUAAAUUAAUCAUCUUUUGUUUAUUUUUUACUUUUGUAUUGGAUAAACUGAUGUGAAAACAAAUUCCAAAUUCAAAUUCAAAUUCAAAUUCUGAUUUUUUUUUUUUAUAAA